rnacentral:lncRNA from 1 species
ACUGAUAUAAGACAAUUCUUAAGUCCAUCACAAUGUAAAGUUGUCAAAGACAUGCUUGCAUCCCCUAGAAUUCCAACCAUGAUGAGCAGGGCCUCCAGGUGGAUGUUGCCAACAGCUUCAAAAUGCAAGGAGGCUUGCAAUCACUAAAACUCCAACUGUGAGGAGCAGGGCCUUCAGGUAGAUGUCUGCCUGCUGCUGUUGCCCCAAUGGUGCUUGCCUGUGGACGCCAUGGGUGUGUCCCAUAUGCCCACCAUGGAAGCCAUGCCCAUGGCCGUACCCAUAGUGGAACCCAGGAGGCUGCGCAUAAGCAGCAGCAUCUGGAAAUCCAUGGACUUGGAAGCUAAGCAUAGGGAACAGGCCCCCAAAAGCAGCCGAGAAUGCAUAGUUCCCCCACCGUGCAUUCGCCAAUGGGACUCCUGUGCCCAUGAACCAUGGGUUCCCAUUGGCAUUGGGGAAGUUGUUGUUGUUGUUGUUAGUAUCAGCCUGUGGGGCUGUGGCAGGCCUCUGGCCAGUCGGGCGGUGAGGAAUGUCAGAUUCAGGCAUGUUCUUUGAUCUUGGGUCAACACGGUCCUUGCCUCGUCCAUAAAGGGGAACAAGCUUGUCUUCCUCGACAAGGGCCUUGCACACCGGGCACUCUGGUGAGUGUGCAUGGAUGUGCAACCACCGGUAAAGGCAUGGCCAGCAGAAGAGAUGGCCGCAAAGCGUCACUAUUGGCUCUUGUGGCAGCUCAAAGCAUAUGUUGCACUCAAAACUCCCCCCAGCUGCGUCGCCGCUGCUGCCAGCACUCGUUGAUUCACCAACAUUUGCUGACAUCUUGCUUAUAGUCGGAACGAAUUAAGCUGCAAUUCCCAAGGAUUACAGGAUGAAGAACAUGGCUACCAAUAAAAUUCAUAAAAAUGACUGAAGAUAUUAAUCCUAGUACAACCAACAAGUAAGAAAUUAUUACACAUAACUACAAACAGCACCCCAUUUUUCUACUUAGCACAGUGAAAGCCACCAAAAGGGUCCAUGUUUAGUGGAAGGGUAAAAUUCUCAUGGUCCUAAGUAGAAUUAAGCCACAGACCCAUAAGUAUAGCAGCAACAAAGAUUGUCCAAAUAGUUAUGAUAUAGACGACAUAUCAAUUACCAUGAUCAGAAACUCUCCCGAAAUCUAAAGAUUUAUUUCUGACACGAGAUCAUCUUCUAGAUGCGCAACCUGACGAUUUCAAAAUGGUUCUAACCGAUCCUAAACAGGGCUUGUGUUUAAAGGGGGGAAAAUCGAACUCCCACGAGAUUGGUAUGAACCUUCACGCAAAACUCUGAAGAACAUGGAAUUACAACCAGGAGCCAAUCGAAUUCCAUCUCGACCGCCCGCCCAGGCCAAAAUUCGUCAACCUUUUCGGAGCAGAUUCCAACCUCUUCUCCGAGGGAAAUCCCAAUUCUCCCCCCUCCAAUAUCACUGACCUACGCCAAUAGAUCAAUCAAACUAGCAACCAAACCGCGGCCCCAUGCUUGACCCACCCCAAAUCGCCACGAAUCCCAACCCCCCAAAUCGAGAGCAUCCAUAAGACCUAGCGGCAGAAUCCGCCCAUCGAAUCAGAGCCACGAACACCACAUCCACAAAUCAGGAGCGCCGCAACCUAAGCCCUAAAUCACGGAGGAAUCCGGCGCGGAAUCCGAUGGGGGAGCACCAUUACCUGCGAGCGAAGGGGAGGGAGGGGGCGACGGACUCGGAGAAAUUCCUUCCACUCGACGGCGCGGCGACCGACGGG